AGCAGCCGCGGUAAUUCCAGCUCCAAUAGCGUAUAUUAAAGUUGUUGCAGUUAAAAAGCUCGUAGUUGAAUUUCGGGGUCAGUAGUCUGGUCGUGCCACUGGUAUGUACUGGGCUCACUGAUUCCUCCUUCCUGAUGAACUGUAAUGCCAUUAAUUUGGUGUUGCAGGGAAACUGGACUGUUACUUUGAAAAAAUUAGAGUGUUUAAAGCAGGCUAACGCUUGAAUACAUUAGCAUGGAAUAAUGAAAUAGGACGUUCGAUCCUAUUUCGUUGGUUUCUAGGAUUGACGUAAUGAUUAAUAGGGAUAGUUGGGGGCAUUAGUAUUCAAUUGUCAGAGGUGAAAUUCUUGGAUUUAUUGAAGACUAACUACUGCGAAAGCAUUUGCCAAGGAUGUUUUCAUUAAUCAAGAACGAAAGUUAGGGGAUCGAAGACGAUCAGAUACCGUCGUAGUCUUAACCAUAAACUAUGCCGACUAGGGAUCGGAUGAUGUUAAUUUUUAAUGA
rnacentral:rRNA from 1 species